UACGGGGGGGGGCAAGCGUUGUUCGGAAUUACUGGGCGUAAAGGGCUCGUAGGCGGCCAACUAAGUCGGAUGUGAAAUCCCCAGGCUCAACCUGGGAACUGCAUCCGAUACUGGAUGGCUUGAAUUCGGGAGAGGGAUGCAGAAUUCCAGGUGUAGCGGUGAAAUGCGUAGAUAUCUGGAGGAAUACCGGUGGCGAAGGCGGCGUUCUGGACUGCUACUGACACUGAGGAACGAAAGCCAGGGGAGCAAACGGG
rnacentral:rRNA from 1 species